ACUCAAAGGAAUAGACGGGGGCUCACACAAGCGGUGGAGCAUGUGGCUUAAUUCGAGGCUACGCGCAGAACCUUAUCCUGGGCUUGACAUGCACGGAUUAGCCGGCGGAAACGCCGGUGAGGCCGCAAGGUACAACGUGCACAGGUGCUGCAUGGCUGUCGUCAGCUCGUGUCGUGAGAUGUUGGGUUAAGUCCCGUAACGAGCGAAACCCUUGCCCUUAGUUGCCAGCACGUCAUGGUGGGAACUCUAAGGGGACCGCCGGCGUUAAGCCGGAGGAAGGCGGGGAUGACGUCAAGUCCUCAUGGCCCUUAUGCCCAGGGCUGCACACGUGCUACAAUGGGCCGGACAGAGCGUCGCCAAGUCGCAAGGCCGAGCUAAUCGCAAAAACCGGCCCUCAGUUCGGAUUGUGGGCUGCAACCCGCCCACAUGAAGCUGGAAUCGCUAGUAAUCGCGGAUCAGCACGCCGCGGUGAAUGGGUUCCUGAGCCUUGCACACACCGCCCGU
rnacentral:rRNA from 1 species